rnacentral:lncRNA from 1 species
UAUUUUAUUAAUUUCAUGUUUUUAUUUAUAUAAAUUCGUUUGAAUCAUAUGCGUCAUUCCGUGUACCAAAGCUAGAGAGUGGAUAAACAUAAAAACAAAAUGCUCUUGUGACUUUAGAACAAAUGUGUAAAACAAGAAGAUUUUGGAUAAUAUAUUCGUUCAAAUAGGCCCCUAAUAUUGUUUUAUCAAAAUUUAUACUAGUAUUUAUUUCAAAAGAACAAAGUUAUGUGUAUCAUUAAUUUCUAUAUUUGGUAAUAAGGUCAAAUUUAUUAGGCCCCCAUUACUAAGAAUUAACGUGCUAUUAGCUAGUUCCGAACCAUGUUCCUUCC